AAACAGGAUGAAUUGGAAACACUAAAUUGCCUGUGCCCUGUUCAGGGUUUAGCUCACCUCCUACCCAAUAUGUGUUGGGACAGACAGCAGUCCCCCUGAAGACUUGAACAGCAAAAGCCCUUACGAUGGAUGUGUGUAAAUAAAGUUGAAUGUGUUUUCUUGAGCUAGAAGCACAUGCAACUUGACUCAUCAUCACAAGCUUCAGAUUCAAGUUUAAGAUAGGAAUGAGAAGACCUAUCAAAACAGCUGCAGGGACAGAGUCAGAGCAAGAAAUACUACUGAUCCACCAAUCAGAGGCAGUUCAACAAGGAAGAACAGCCUGAUAGAAGAGGCAGGAAAAGACAGGAUCAGCAAGACAGGGGCCAGUGAAGAUAUUAACCCCACCUACAAUUUCUCCCAGCUAUCCAGACCAGCCAGAGGUGGACAGAGUGGAAAACAUGUACCUGUUCAUCAAGGAUAAGAAUCUGGGACACCAAGAUGUCUUUACUUAUAAAGGAUUUUGACUUUGAUUUGAAACCUCACCAAGAAUGAAGAAAUUGAAGGACGAGAGGAGUUGAAGGAAGAUGGAAACAGCAGGCUGAGUGAACCUUCUGAUUUAAAAAGAUUUUACGAUGAGGACAAGCGGCCCUAGAUGUCCACCUCAUCUGCUGCAGCAGCAGCAUCAUCAGAGACCGUUUGCUGUCCUGAAGAUCAUCAGGACAAGUGGGAUUCAAACUCAUUUCCAGGGGAGAUUGGGACCUGAAUACAGCCUUCAAAGUAACGCAGGAAUCCAUCCAUCCUUUCCUGCGAAUCCCUUCUACGUGUGAGGAGUCUGAAUUAGAUGCAGGAAUGGGAGCCUCCACCACUCAUAGUGAAAACAUUCAGUUACAGAAUGUAAAUACACUGAAUAUCUGUUGCUGAAAAAAUGCAGAAAACAAGCUUUUAUUUCCUGAAAAUAUGAAGGACUAUAAAUCCUUCACAGUAACAUUAGACAAGUUGUUACUACUGA